UACGGAGGGUGCGAGCGUUGUUCGGAUUAACUGGGCGUAAAGGGUGCGUAGGCGGGGUUUUAAGUCAGGGGUGAAAUGCCGAGGCUCAACUUCGGAACUGCCUUUGAUACUGGAACUCUUGAGUCUGGGAGAGGUGAGUGGAACUGCGAGUGUAGAGGUGAAAUUCGUAGAUAUUCGCAAGAACACCAGUGGCGAAGGCGGCUCACUGGCCCGGUACUGACGCUGAGGUGCGAAAGCGUGGGGAGCAAACAGG
rnacentral:rRNA from 1 species